CAACAAAUUGUUAAUGAAAUUAUGCUUAUAAUGUUACAUCAUCAUAACUGAAUAAGUCUAUUCCUUUGAUGAUUGGCAAUGAUUAAUUUUCUAGCUUUUACAGUCACUUAUAUACUGCUGUUCAAUGUAUACUGAUGUGUUAACACACAGAGAUAGCUGAUAACACCUGGACAUUCUGUUCAAAAUAAGGACCAAUGAAAAUACAGGCUUCUGAAGCCGUUUUACACCUGUACCCCAAAAAAUAAUCCCAAUAUUUCUGCUUGUUUUGUUUUUUUCUGUGAUCUUUGAACAUUCUGUGAGCAAAUAAAUGGAUAAAUUCUCCCAUGAACUAUAUACAUAUAUAUUUUAAGAACAUUCUAGACAUUCCCUGCAGUAACUAUAUUGUACCAAAGAAAAUCGCUCAUGAAUACAAAAAUUUGAAUGUAAACAGGAAGUUCUUUGUUCAUGUUGUUGGAGGCAAAUGGAAUAAAGCUAACUUGAAACUCUAAAAUGUUUUUAGAGGGAUAUAUCAGAUGAAAGAGUGUACAUAUUUAGUUAUUAGAAGUAAUGCCUUCAACACAUAUGUAUGAACUGAUGUAGUCAGAGAAAUCAGAUGGCUUCAGUGACUAUGCUACAGGAUGAUAUGAGAUCACAGACAGAAAACCCAUCAAACAUAAAUUACAGAAUAUUUCAACUAAAUUAAAUGGCUGGAAUGAAGGUCCUGACCCUGGUGAUGGUUUUGGAAAAGCAAAGAGACAUUCUGAUGCCACCUUAAAUUGGGCCUACAAUACUCCAAAAAUGAUUGUGUUGUAUUCAUAACUUUCUAUCAAAUAAUUUUUUUAUUUGAUAUAUCUUUUAGUUUAAUUUUUAAGUUUAAGCGAAGUGAAUUUUUAUCAUUCUUAACCACAGAUGUAAAAGCCGCUGACAUAUGUGUUAUUCCCCCUUUGAAUUUUAUGCUUUUUGUGUUUUGUGAAGCCUAGAUCUGUCUCAAUAUUAU
rnacentral:lncRNA from 1 species